GCCAGGACGCUCUCACUCGUAAUGAGAAGGUCGCGAGUUCGAUUCUCGCAAGCGGCUCCA
rnacentral:tRNA from 1 species